rnacentral:rRNA from 1 species
AGUGAACGCUGGCGGUAGGCCUAACACAUGCAAGUCGAACGGCAGCACAGUAAGAGCUUGCUCUUACGGGUGGCGAGUGGCGGACGGGUGAAGAAUACAUCGGAAUCUACUUUUUCGUGGGGGAUAACGUAGGGAAACUUACGCUAAUACCGCAUACGACCUACGGGUGAAAGCAGGGGAUCUUCGGACCUUGCGCGAUUGAAUGAGCCGAUGUCGGAUUAGCUAGUUGGCGGGGUAAAGGCCCACCAAGGCGACGAUCCGUAGCUGGUCUGAGAGGAUGAUCAGCCACACGGGAACUUAGAAACGGUCCAGACUCCUACGGGAGGCAGCAGUGGGGAAUAUUGGACAAUGGGCGCAAGCCUGAUCCAGGCAUACCGCGUGGGUGAAGAAGGCCUUCGGGUUGUAAAGCCCUUUUGUUGGGAAAGAAAAGCAGCAGGUUAAUACCCCGCUGUUCUGACGGUACCCAAAGAAUAAGCACCGGCUAACUUCGUG